rnacentral:rRNA from 1 species
GACGAACGCUGGCGGCGUGCUUAACACAUGCAAGUCGAACGGAAAGGCCCUGCUUUUGUGGGGUGCUCGAGUGGCGAACGGGUGAGUAACACGUGAGUAACCUGCCCUUGACUUUGGGAUAACUUCAGGAAACUGGGGCUAAUACCGGAUAGGAGCUCCUGCUGCAUGGUGGGGGUUGGAAAGUUUCUGCGGUUGGGGAUGGACUCGCGGCUUAUCAGCUUGUUGGUGGGGUAGUGGCUUACCAAGGCUUUGACGGGUAGCCGGCCUGAGAGGGUGACCGGCCACAUUGGGACUGAGAUACGGCCCAGACGCCUACGGGAGGCAGCAGUGGGGAAUAUUGCACAAUGGGCGGAAGCCUGAUGCAGCAACGCCGCGUGCGGGAUGACGGCCUUCGGGUUGUAAACCGCUUUCGCCUGUGACGAAGCGUGAGUGACGGUAAUGGGUAAAGAAGCACCGGCUAACUACGUG